rnacentral:rRNA from 1 species
CAGCCGCCGCGGUAAUACGUAGGUGGCAAGCGUUGUCCGGAAUUAUUGGGCGUAAAGGGCGCGUAGGCGGCGAUCAAAGUCAGGCGUGAAAUUCCUGGGCUCAACCUGGGGGCUGCGUUUGAUACUUGAUCGCUAGAGUGGGGAAGAGGGUCGUGGAAUUCCCAGUGUAGAGGUGAAAUUCGUAGAUAUUGGGAAGAACACCGGUGGCGAAGGCGGCGACCUGGUCCUUGACUGACGCUGAGGCGCGAAAGCGUGGGGAGCAAACAGGAUUAGAUACCCCCGUAGUCCCUGUCUCUUAUAC